GAUGAACGCUGGCGGCGUGCCUAAUGCAUGCAAGUCGAGCGAACAGACGAGGAGCUUGCUCCUCUGACGUUAGCGGCGGACGGGUGAGUAACACGUGGAUAACCUACCUAUAAGACUGGGAUAACUUCGGGAAACCGGAGCUAAUACCGGAUAAUAUAUUGAACCGCAUGGUUCAAUAGUGAAAGACGGUUUUGCUGUCACUUAUAGAUGGAUCCGCGCCGCAUUAGCUAGUUGGUAAGGUAACGGCUUACCAAGGCAACGAUGCGUAGCCGACCUGAGAGGGUGAUCGGCCACACUGGAACUGAGACACGGUCCAGACUCCUACGGGAGGCAGCAGUAGGGAAUCUUCCGCAAUGGGCGAAAGCCUGACGGAGCAACGCCGCGGGAGUGAUGAAGGUCUUCGGAUCGUAAAACUCUGUUAUUAGGGAAGAACAAAUGUGUAAGUAACUAUGCACGUCUUGACGGUACCUAAUCAGAAAGCCACGGCUAACUACGU
rnacentral:rRNA from 1 species